rnacentral:snRNA from 8 species
AUACUUACCUGGCAAGGGAGACACCGUGAUCAAGAAGGCGGUUCACCCAGGGCGAGGCUCAGCCAUUGCACUCCGGCUGUGCUGACCCCUGCGAAUUUCCCAAAUGUGGAAAUCUCGAUUGCAUAAUUUCUGGUAGUGGGGACUGCAUUCGCACUCCCCC